rnacentral:rRNA from 1 species
UUGAUGGCGAGUGGCGAACGGGUGAGUAACGCGUAGGAAUAUGCCUUAAAGUGGGGGACAACUUGGGGAAACUCAAGCUAAUACCGCAUAAUUUCUUAGGAAAAAAGCUGGGGACCUUCGGGCCUGGCGCUUUAAGAUUAGCCUGCGUACGAUUAGCUAGUUGGUAGGGUAAAGGCCUACCAAGGCGACGAUCGUUAGCUGGUCUGAGAGGAUGACCAGCCACACUGGAACUGAGACACGGUCCAG